GUAGGUGGCAAGCGUUGUCCGGAAUUAUUGGGCGUAAAGCGCGCGCAGGCGGUUCUUUGAGUCUGAUGUGAAAGCCCACGGCUCAACCGUGGAGGGUCAUUGGAAACUGGAGAACUUGAGUACAGAAGAGGAAAGCGGAAUUCCACGUGUAGCGGUGAAAUGCGUAGAGAUGUGGAGGAACACCAGUGGCGUAGGCGGCUUUCUGGUCUGUAACUGACGCUGAGGCGCGAAAGCGUGGGGGAGCAAACAGGAUUAGAUACCCUGGUAGUCCACGCCGUAAACGAUGAGUGCUAAGUGUUAGGGGGUUUCCGCCCCUUAGUGCUGCAGCUAACGCAUUAAGCACUCCGCCUGGGAGUACGGCCGCAAGGCUG
rnacentral:rRNA from 1 species